rnacentral:lncRNA from 13 species
GAGGCCCUCUGUACCAAAGGGGCUACGCAGGGCCAGCCAUCAAUUCUGUCUGUGGUCAUCACUCCCUCCCUGCCUUGGACUCCUCAGAAUCUCAGCUCCCCAACCUCAAGAUGACUCAAUCCUUCCCACUGUGCUGCCUUUGUGGAAAACAUCGGAGGGAUAGAAGAAAACAAUCACACAUGCACACACAAAAUAACAAACUGCUCGUCUUCCUAGUAUGGAUCCCAUCUCAUCAUACAUAGGGUGCCAUAGCAACAUAUUUACUUUGCUAUGCAGACGCCCCCUCCAUAUGUAUUAUACCUGAGGGGAUUUACAUUAUCUAGAGAGAGAGAGAGAGAGAGAGCUGACUUCUUAAUUGUGAUACUACUUCUGGUUGUCUUGUCUCUAUUCUCUUUCUUUUGGUUUCUGAAUCUUGUCUGUCUUACAGAUGUGAAGAGCUGGGACUUGGGAGCCGCAGUAGAAAACGCCUGAAGGUAGAAGAGCACCGAACAAGGAUUAUCUGGGUGGAAACCGCCGACCUGCGAGUUGGGGAUCUUCGUGUGUGAGGAUGUCAGUGUUUUCGCCUCGCUGACCGCAAUGUGCUUCUCUGGGUAGCCCCCGGGCAGCGUUCCUCCUCUCUGAAAUCGCCACCUCCUCUUCCCCUCCCCCUCCCCUAUCCUUCCUCCUCUCCCCCUAUCCCUCCCCCAUCUCAUUUAGUCCCACCAACCACCAGCUGCUCCAUGGAUCCCCUGUGUCCGAGUAAUGGUGUGAGCCGGACACAGCCCCGCACCUCCGGCCAACUGUAGCCCCCCACCCCAGCCCCCCUCGGCCCCAUUACUUUUUUAUUUUUUUGUACUGGCUUAUUUUUUCUCACAAUCCCUGGAGUUUAUUCUUGUUUGGAACCAGGGAUGGAUGUACCAUUGGAGGCCAGCAAGCAUGGCAAGAAGACGACCAGUCAAAAGCUGGAAGACCAGAAGAAGGUGUUUCCUGAGUGUUUCCUUGACUUCGAGAGAGAGAGAGAAUGAAAGAGAGAGAGAGAACACACCGUCACCACAGUACAACACACUGACAGAGUACAUGAGGCUCCCCCUGUCCCGCCUCCAUCUUCUUUCUGAGCACACCCUCAUGCGCUCACUAACCUGACCUAUCAGAGGGCAGGAUGGAGCUACUGUACCUAGGAUGGGCUUGGGGAUGGUUUGGGACUGAUCUGACUGGCUGGCUCACUCGCCAUCUCAGUUUAAAUUGGAAUUAACCGCCUGCACACACACACCUAACAUAUUCUACCUCAAACGUUCCUCACGUUUCAAACCAAUGAAUAAAUUAAAACAUUGCCUUGAUCCCAGUAGUAUGGAGAUACAGCGUUGUCUCUGUAUGUUGCUAUUAGGACCCAGUCCUCCCUACUUGAUCCCAGUAGUAUGGAGAUACAGCGUUGUCUCUGUAUGUUGCUAUUAGGACCCAGUCCUCCCUACUUGAUCCCAGUAGUAUGGAGAUACAGCGUUGUCUCUGUAUGUUGCUAUUAGGACCCAGUCCUCCCUACUUGAUCCCAGUAGUAUGGAGAUACAGCGUUGUCUCUGUAUGUUGCUAUUAGGACCCA